CUACAACAGACCCACGUGUGGAAAUUCCGUUUCAUUUUAAGUUCCAUUGUGUGUUCUCAAAUUUCCCUCUGCACAAGGACCAACUAUACAGACAAUGGACAGAAUAUUUGAACUUCUGGCGGACGAUUCCGUUUUUUUGCAAGCCAAUUUCCAGCAACCCUAGUGUGUAAAUAUUAGCGUUGCUAUAAGCAGCUAAGCGAUCGUCCAACUGUUCUCUUAUAUCAAGGCAGGGUUGAAUGUUGAUAACUGGGCGCCGAUUUGCUCGUAACAACAUUGAGUUUGCCAGCAGUCAGUACUUGAAAAAAGUUACAUUCUGAAACGUUUACCUGUAGGCCUACAGUACGUAUGUUUGUCCUGUACAAUCGCGGUCCUUCCGCGCUGUGCUAAAAUUCCUAUUUAUUUUAUAAAAACGUAAACAAUACCUACUUUUUCUCACAUUUGUGUUGCUCACGUAGCGACCUCGAUGUAAGCGGAGAUACAAUUGUCACAUGAGCAUUCGCGCUGAGUUGCGCAACCCAAAUUAGGAAAAGGUCGGUGGUUGUAUUCGAUAAGGGUUUAUUAAACGUGUGAAUUUCGGAUCCCGCGGAAGGAACGCGGUUGUACAUAAACGGGUACAGUCACCAGCAACAGGUCUGGCUUGACCAGUUUAAGGCUUUCAUUCUGGUAUGUGUAUUUGAGGUACAGCCCACCCAAACCAGAAUGGUUUGAUGGAUGAAUCCAGACCACUGUAUAAGGGUAUCCAAUUGGUAGUUACAGUCUUGUCUCAUCGCUGCAACUCCCAUACGAACUCGGGAGAGGAGCAGGUCGAGAGCCGCGCGUCCAGCCAAGAUGCACUGCUUCUUGACACAACGCCCGCUUAACCGGGAAGCCAGCCGCACCAAUGUAUCGGAGGAAACACUGUACACCUGGCGACCGUGUCAGCGUGCAUUGUGCCCAGCCCGCCACAGGAGUCGCUAAUGGGAAAAAAGCAUCCCUGCUGGUCAAACCCUCCACUAACCCAGAAGACCCUGGGCCAAUUGUGCGCCGCCCCAUGGGUCUCCCGGUCGUGACAGAGCCUGGACUCGAACCAGGAGCUCUAGUGGCAAAGCUAGCACUGUGAUUCAGUGCCUUCGACCACUGCACCACUCGGGAAGCCACCCAAACAGAGCUUCUGGACAUCAGAACAGCGAUUACUCACCUCGAACUGGAUGAAGAUUCUUUCUUUAAUGAGUCUGAUGCGAAGGUUAUACUGCUUUCCCGAGACCAGGCCCAAAUCCCCGUCAUUCACGUGAAGAAAAGACUGAGAUACCGGGGGCGGAGGUUGGGGUGCCUUGUGAGAAUUCAUUGGCAAGUGGGUAAACCACCACUACCUUCCGUCCUAUUGGCCAACGUUUUCACUGGUAAAUAAACUGGAUGAUCUAUGAUCAAGACUAUUCUACCAACGGGACAUUAAAAACUGUAAUAUCUUAUGUUUUACGAGUCGUGGCUGAGCGACGACAUGGAUAAAAUAGAACUGGCUGGGUUUUCCGUGCAUUGGCAGGACAGAGCAGCUACGUCUGGUAAGACGAGGGGCGGGGGUGUACAAGACUAAGACUAAGAUUGAUACAAGACUAAGAUUGAAUCCUAUUACACCGGCUCUGACACUCGUCGGAUGUGGCAGGGCUUGCAAACUAUUACGGACUACAAAGGGAAACCCAGCCGCGAGCUGCCCAGUGACGCGAGCCUACCAGACGAGCUAAAUGCCUCGCUUCGAGGCAAGCAACACUGAAGCAUGCAUGAGAGCACCAGCUGUUCGGGAGGACUGUGUGGUCCCGCUCUCCAUUGCCAUUGUGAGCAAGACCUUUAAACAUCACAAGGCCACAGAGCCAGAUGGAUUUCCAGGACGUGUACUCAGAGCAUGCUUAGACCAACUGGCAAGUGUCUUCACUGACAUUUUUAACUUCUCGCUAAUAAUUCCACCACAUUUACAGUUGAAGUCGGAAGUAGGAAGCUCUCCACAAAAGGUUUGUGAACAUGCCUGCUAUCAAAUACAUUUAAUUCAAUUAUACAGAUGAAGUAGGAAGUUUAUAAUAAACUUAGGUUGGAGUCAUUAAAACUCAUUUUUCAACCACUCCACAAAUUUCUUGUUAACAAACUAUAGUUUUGGCAAGUCGGUUAGGACAUCUACUUUGUACAUGACACAAGUAAUUUUUCCAACAAUUGUUUACAGACAGAUUAUUUCACUUAUAAUUCACUGUAUCACAAUUCCAGUGGGUCAGAAGUGUACAAAUACUAACUUGACAGUGCCUUUAAAAAGCUUGGAAAAUUCCAGAAAAUUAUGUCAUGGCUUUAGAAGCUUCUGAUAGGCUAAUUGACAUAAUUUGAGUUGGAGGUGUACCCGUGGAUGUAUUUCAAGUCCUACCUUCAAACUCCGUGCCUCUUUGCUUGAUAUCAGCCAAGACCUCAGAAAAAAAUUGUAGACCUCCACAUGGUUCAUCCUUCGAAGCAAUUUCCAAACGCCUGAAGGUACCACGUUCAUCUGUACAAACAAUAGUACGCAAGUAUAAACACCAUGGGACCGUCAUACCCCUCAGGAAGGAGACGCAUUCUGUCUCCUAGAGAUGAAGGUACUUUGAUGCGUAAAGUGCAAAUCAAUCCCAGAACAGCAGCAAAGGACCUUGUGAAGAUGCUGGAGGAAACAUGUACAAAAGUAUCUAUAUCCACAGUAAAACAAGCCCUAUAUCGACAUAACCUGAAAGGCCGCUCAGCAAGGAAGAAGCCAUUGCUCCAAAACCGCCAUAAAAAGCUAGACUAUGGUUUGCAACUGCACAUGGAGAGAAAGAUCCUACUUUUUGGAGAAAUGUCCUCUGGUCUGAUGAAACAAAAAUAGAACUGCUUGGCCAUAAUGACCACCAUUAUGUUUGGAGGAAAAAGGGGGAGGCUUGCAAGCCAAAGAACACCAUCCCAUCCGUGAAGCACGGGGGUGGAAGCAUCAUGUUGUGGGGGUGCUUUGCUGCAGGAGGGACUGGUGCACUUCACAAAAUAGAUGGCAUCAUGAGGGAGAAAUUAUGUGGAUAUAUUGAAGCAACAUUUCAAGAUGUCAGUCAGGAAGUUAAAGCUUGGUCGCAAAUGGGUCUUCCAAAUGGACAAUGACCCCAAGCAUACUUCCAAAGUUGUGGCAAAAUGGCUUAAGGACAACAAAGUCCAGGUAUUAAAUGUCUGGAAUUGUGAAAAACUGAAUUUAAAUGUAUUUGGCUAAGGUGUAUGUAAACUUCCGACUUCAACUGUAUGUGUGAGGAAACCAUGAAUAAGGUCUAGAGCCGUUCCAUUAUUCCGAAUUUUAAUUGUGUGCCCUCUUAAAACCUCUUAGAUGCAAGGUCCCUUUUUAGCGGACCUGUGUGGUUCUGGUACCGGUUCUGUCUGACAUUUUUGCUUAUAAAUUGAUAUGUGGAUACCAUAGUGGAUAUCGAAAUGGCUUGCAUUGAGCGAUAGCCCUGGUUCCCACAUACACAGUAAUAUUUUUUCUGACCCCGUGUGACGUAUGAUGUGAAAUCUGAAACCACUUGAAGCUGGGAUGUCCCUCCUACCAUUUCAUUCGCUCUUCCGACUGUCCAUCAACUCCUGGCUGAACCCUACAUCACAGCCACUGACAAAGCACAUGCCUGCAAGCAUUAGGUCGUAGCGCAGCAGGAGGGAGUGGUUUCAUCAUGAUAGCACAUUCAGAGAUCGAUUUAUAUCCAUUAAUCAAAAAUAAAUAAUCGAUUUGAAACAAACAUUUUCUGUUUGCCACAGACGGACAAUAUUAACAUGAGAUGAAAGGUGAGUUCCUAGAGCUCUGUGAUAUGUUCACAAAGAUGGGGGCAGAAGUUUUGAUCAAGAGAGACCUUUAGAAAAUAUGCACAUUUUUACAUACAAAUAGGUAUUUACAGUUAUAAGGCAGGUGAAAUCUUAUAGUUAGUCGUUUUAUCAUUUCAUUAUGCUAUAUUUAGAAAGUAUAUGUCAUUUCAAGCCUUUUGUUGAAUAGGAAAUACAUCAUAUCAAAUAUUUCAUAUUUUUAUAAUAUUUGUACUGUGUACUUGAGCUAGUGUCCUCAAUAGUGACUAAACCUCAGCAAUUUAUAACUAUUUUUACCAGAAAGGUGAGAUUUUAACCUUUUCUUUGAGUAUACAGCAUUACUAGUUAUUGUUUAUGAUAAAUAAUUACUUUUGGGGAUUACAUAGAUGACAUUUUCGAUUACAUUUAACUGGAUAAUAUGCAUGGAUGAAAUUUUGACAUCCAAGCUAAGUAAUACCCAUAUAUAUAUUUAUUACUGCCACUUUGGUGUUAGUUUUCUUCAAUGAGUUGCUUACAUUUUGCAUCCUUCUAUUCCAUUUACAUUUAUUUCCUCUGCCAAGACCGUUUAAACAGUUCCUGAGGGUCUGAGUAUUAGUGGAUCAUAUUAGGCUAACGUUGUGCUUUAGGGACAUGCAGUGGUGUGUCAUCAUGGAUGCCAAGGGAAGCCAGGCUUCCCUCUGUAUGUGUACAGAGACACGACUUUGGUCCUGCGGUUUUACGUCCCUCACCCAUGCUUGCAUCGUCCAAUGGUCCCCCGCCCACUUCGCUUCCUUCAUUAAAAAUGUAUGGGCUUCCAAUGACCACGUUCACAUGCGCACAGUAUUGUGGAUAGUGGCUCAUAUCCCACUUAAGGUCUUAUUCGGGAUUAGCUGUUUCAAAUCAAAGUUUAUUUAUCACGUGCUCCAAAUACAACAGGUGUAGGUAGACCUUACAGUGAAAUACUUACUUAUAGGCUCUAACCAAUAGUGCAAAAAAAAGAUAUUAGGUGAACAAUAGGUAAGUAAAGAAAUAAAACAACAGUAAAAAGACAGGCUAUAUACAGUAGCGAGGCUACAUACAGACACCGGUUAGGCUGAUUGAGAUAGUAUGUACAUGUAGAUAUGGUUAAAGUGACUAUGCAUAUAUGAUGAACAGAGAGUAGCAGUAGCAUAAAAGAGGGGUUGGCGGGACACAAUGCAGAUAGCCUGGUAGUCCAAUGUGCGGGAGCACUUGUUGGUCGGCCCAAUUGAGGUAGUAUGUACAUGAAUGUAUCGUUAAAGUGACUAUGCAUAUAUGAUAAACAGAGAGUAGCAGCAACGUAAAAAGAGGGGUAGGAGGGCACACAAUGCAAAUAGUCCGGGUAGCCAUUUGAUUACCUGUUCAGGAGUCUUGUGAGUAAAAACUGUUGAACCUGUUAAGGCUUGGGGGUAAAAACUGUUGAGAAGCCUUUUUGUCCUAGACUUGGCACUCUGGUACCGCUUGCCAUGCGGUAGCAGAGAGAACAGUCUAUGACUGGGUUCUUUGACCAUUUUUAGGGGCUUCCUCUGACACCACCUGGUGUAGAGGUCCUGGAUGGCAGGCAGCUUAGCCCCAGUGAUGUACAGGGCCAUACGCACUACCCUCUGUAGUGCCUUGCAGUCAGAGGCCGAGCAAUUGCUGUACCAGGCAGUGAUGCAACCAGUGCGCUCAAUGUUGCAGCUGUACAACAUUUUGAGGAUCUCAGGACCCAUUUAUUUUUGUAUUUAACUUUUUUCAAUGACGGCCUAGGAACAGUGGGUUAACUGCCUUGUUCAGGGGCAGAACGACACAUUUUUACCUUGUCAGCUCAGGGAUUUGACAUUGCAACCUAUUGGUUACUAGUCAAAUGCUCUAACCACUAGGCUACCUGCCACCCCUGUAUCAAUGAAUGAACUGAAUAUUCCUCAAUUAAAUUCAUAUGGGUUAAAUGGAAUAGUAACUGAAAUGUGUAUUCACUGUAGGCCUAUAACCUCACAUGUAGUAUAAUAUCAUAUUAACUCCUGCAGAAUGAUGCAUUUUUUUGCAGGGAAAUUAUACAAUAAAUGUUCAUUUUGUCUUGGGAA